GCGGCAGGCCUGAGGCAUGCAAGUCGAACGAGAAAGUGUAGCAAUACAUGAGUAGAGUGGCGCACGGGUGAGUAACACGUGGGAACAUACCUUAAAGUGGGGGAUAACAGUUGGAAACGACUGCUAAUACCGCAUAAACCCUUCGGGGGAAAGAUUUAUCGCUUUAAGAUUGGCCCGCGUUGGAUUAGCUUGUUGGUGAGGUAAUGGCUCACCAAGGCAGUGAUCCAUAGCUGGUCUGAGAGGAUGACCAGCCACACUGGGACUGUGAGACGGCCCAGACUCCUGCGGGGGGCAGCAGCUAGGAAUAUUGGAAAAUGGGCGAAAGCCUGAUCCAGCCAUGGCGCGUGAGUGAAGAAGGCCUUCGGGUUGUAAAGCUCUUUUAGUUAUGAAGAUGAUGACUGUAGUAACAGAAAAAGCACCGGCUAACUUCGUGCCAGCAGCCGCAGUAA
rnacentral:rRNA from 1 species